CUAAACUUACACUCUGGUGCAGUGGUUCUCAACCAAUUUAGCCCACCUAGGGAACAAUGGCAGUGUCUGGAGAUAUUUUUGGCCAUCACAACUGGGAGGAAGGAUGCACAAGCACGGAGUGGAAGGAGCUCUGUUCUUCGCCAUUUCUGCACACCAGACCGUUAUGUUCCAAUGGCGUUAGUCUUGGUUUAGCCUUUGGAUGAAAUAGUCAAUAUAUCACUACUUCAGAAGGACUGUAGCAAGGAUAAGGAAAAGAAUUCUGCAAGUUUACUGGAAAAGCAGAAAGAAUAGCUGGGAUGGUUAAGUUGCUAGGUCGUGUCUGACUCUCCUGCAACCCCAUGGACUACAGCCCACCAGGCUCAUC